CCCGCCGGGCUCGGCCGGCUGCGGCGGGCCGUGGCGCCAUGUGCGCGUGUCGUCCUUGCGCCCUCUUACUGCAACGCCUCCAGUAACAGGUUCCAAAGUCCUGCUGGUCCCCGCCCUCGUCCCUGCGAAGCAGAGCAGGGAGCCAACGACGACCCCGCUGAAGCCUCCUAAGCUCCAGCUCACCCCACUCAGCGGUUGGGGUGAUUUUAGCGGAUCCCCACUUCCCGUCCCCAAGACACGGUCUCCAGAGACGACUUCAGCGCGCGGGAGACAGGGGUGAAUCUGUAAAGGAACUGAGCGCUUGGCCUGGUGCCCGCCUGGAGGGACUCAGCCCAACCGAUCCUGGCCCUGCGUUCCGACGGCUGCCCGCGAAGCUGGAGAAAGGUGGCGCACGCGCAGGAGAACUGAGGACAACACUUGGGGCAAAACAAAGCUCCCCGCCCCGGGCACCAAUGAGAGGGCAGGGAGUUCACCUCCACGCGUGCACGCCCUCGUCUGGAUGUAUCAAAAUGCGACAACUCUACAUUCCUUACCUGCCUUGUUGUGAUUGGUUCUCUAAAAAAACGAAGCAAAACAACAGCCUGUAACGUGCCCUCCCUGCCCUUGAAAACUCUUCAUUGAAGGGCGCUUACAGAGCCUCCAGCACUUGGACAAGAUGCGGAGAGCGCUCUAAGGGAACUGGGAAGUUGUAAUCCUAAAGGAUCCUUACUGGUCUAAUUUGUUACUCUGCAGUCUCUACCCCUCUUCUCUACCUCCAGGACUAACAGUUUAGCUAGAGAGAGAAGGCACAUUCCUGCGUGGCUGGCCUGUGGGGUAGUGGUUAAGUUCGCACGCUCCACUUUUGCAGCCCCAGUCAUGGGUUCGGGUCCACGGCACAGAUCUAUACAUGCUGUCAAACCAUGCUGUGGCAGCAUCCCACAUACAAAAUGGAGGAAGAUUGGCACAGCUGUUAACUCAGGGCGAAUCUCCCCCCUCACUCACCCCCCCACACAAAAAAACAUAUUCGUGCUUAACAAAAGGUUUGUUAAACUGACAAAGGAUUAAUCCCCAACACAUAUAAAGAACUCCUACAAAUCAAUGAGAAAAAGAUAAAUCAGUAGAAGAAACAUGGGCAAAUGACUAGAACAGGUACUCUCAAAAGAGAGAAUGGAACUGGCCAAUAAACGUACAACACGAUGUUGAGUAUCAUUAGAAAUCCCAGAAAUGCAAAUUAAACUACAGUUUAAACCACAGUCAAUACUGCUUUAAUGAUUUGCACAGACACACACAAAAUCUGUAAACGUCAAGUAUUGGUGAAGAUCUCUAACAACUGGAACGACUACUGUUGGGAUUGCAAAUUGUUAUGAUUGAUACAGUCACCUUGGAAAACAAUCAUCUAGUAAAGCUAGAUGCCUCCCGGGUGACCCAGCCAGACCUCUCCCACAUCAACCUCAGAAAAACUCACUGACACGCAUCCGGGUCCAUGUGCAAGAAUAUUCCUAACAGCGCUGUUUGUAAUGAGGAAAAAAAACUGGAAACAGUCCUUAUAGCCAUCAAAAGUGGAGUAAGUUUUUGGUUGAUUCAUGCAGUGGACACUGUAUAGCAGUGAAAGUGCUGAGUGAAAAAGCAAGUCUUAGAAAAAUAUAGAAUAAUCUUAUUUACAUAAAGCUCACAAACUUGCAGAACUAAACAAUAUAUUGUUUGGGGAUAAAAACAUGUGGCCAAAUUAUAAAGAAAAGUAAAGGAAUGAUAAAUGUAAUAGUCAGGGUACUGGUCACCUCUGAGAGAAGGGAAAGGAACAGGAUGGGGACAGACGUGCAGGGGUCUUAAAAGGCAAAAGUGAUGUUCUCUUCCACUAGGAUAUGGGUGCAAAGAGUUAUAAAUGUAUUCAAUCUUUCUACGUGUAUUAUAAAUACUCUUUUUUAGCCAUUAAAUAUUUUGUAAGAACAAUUAAAAAAUAAAAAUAAUUUUUUUAAGUGUCAAGUACCUUAGAGGUUAGACACAAGGGGUAAAGCCACUAGCCCAAGGCAUUUGACCCUGUCUCCUCUCUUGGAAGAGCCAAGUAGAUAAGGCUCUCUCGUUCUGGCCAGAGAGCAGAGCAGGAGUUAGGGGUCCACUCUGCUCUCUGCUCUCUCAGGUUGGGCUGUGGAGGGUUGGGGGGAGAUGGAAGGGCAGUGCAUGUCUCAGGCUGCCAGGGCUUUAUUACAUUUGCAAAGCUGAUCUGCAGAUGCAGUGUAAGAUAGAGAGCUCCAUCCAGAAUCGCUCACCCCGUGCUGAAUGCCCUGGCAGCCCCCUACUUGCCAGAUAACAUCUUUAAUAUCCAGGGGGAAAUGAAUUCCCCCGCUUGGUCUGCCCAUCUGGCCUUGCCUCUUGCCACAAUCAGUCUGGCAGAUCUUCCUCCCCUGCAAAAAGAAGAGAAAUUGUUCUUCCACAGCUCCGCUUUUCAUCAUGAAAGCAUCGUCUGAGUGGCAGGGCCUGGGUAUUGGUCAUUCCUUCUUGCCUGCCUUCCUCUAUUCAGCUUUCAUGGGUGGCUUCUGUAUUAGAGCUGUGCUAGGCACAGGGGACGAGGAGAUGAAUUAGGCGUGAACCUCAUCCUGAAGAGGGAGCGGUCCAGUGGGGUAGACAGAUAGAAAGCAAAUAAUCAGGCACCAAGUGUAAUGGAGGUAAUGGAGCCUCAGGAGCAGAGAAAGAUAAAAAGAUUAAUUCCACCAAGGUGGUGGCCUGGGAAGGUUUCCUGGAUGAAAUGAAUUUUUAUUACCUCUAAAAUAAAGUUAAUAUUUUUUCUUA